rnacentral:lncRNA from 1 species
GAUGCUGAGGGAGAUAGCUACGAGAGCCGCCCUCAUGCGCAAAGGAAAGAAGGCUCCUGAAACAAGAUGAGGUGGUUCCUCUCAAGGAGUCGGAGAGCAUCCUAACACGGGCUUACCUCAACACCCCGAUACUGACUUACCUCUUGACCCAUUUAACAUAGAGGAGAAUGAAGAGGAACCCGCUUUCUCCCCCGAGAUCCUAAGG